UUCGUAGGCGGUUUGUCACGUCGUUUGUGAAAACUCACAGCUCAACUGUGAGCCUGCAGGCGAUACGGGCAGACUUGAGUACUGCAGGGGAGACUGGAAUUCCUGGUGUAGCGGUGAAAUGCGCAGAUAUCAGGAGGAACACCGGUGGCGAAGGCGGGUCUCUGGGCAGUAACUGACGCUGAGGAACGAAAGCGUGGGUAGCGAACAGGAUUAGAUACCCUGGUAGUCCACGCCGUAAACGGUGGGCGCUAGGUGUGGGUUCCUUCCACGGAAUCCGUGCCGUAGCUAACGCAUUAAGCGCCCCGCCUGGGGAGUACGGCCGCAAGGCUAAA
rnacentral:rRNA from 1 species